AGAGUUUGAUCCUGGCUCAGGACGAACGCUGGCGGCGUGCUUAACACAUGCAAGUCGAGCGGAAAGGCCCUUCGGGGUACUCGAGCGGCGAACGGGUGAGUAACACGUGAGUAACCUGCCCCUGACUCUGGGAUAAGCCCGGGAAACUGGGUCUAAUACCGGAUCACACCUCCUCGCAUGGGGUGGGUGUGGAAAGUUUUUCGGUUGGGGAUGGACUCGCGGCCUAUCAGCUUGUUGGUGGGGUAAUGGCCUACCAAGGCGACGACGGGUAGCCGGCCUGAGAGGGCGACCGGCCACACUGGGACUGAGACACGGCCCAGACUCCUACGGGAGGCAGCAGUGGGGAAUAUUGCGCAAUGGGCGAAAGCCUGACGCAGCGACGCCGCGUGGGGGAUGACGGCCUUCGGGUUGUAAACCUCUUUCAGCAGGGACGAAGUUGACGUGUACCUGCAGAAGAAGCGCCGGCUAACUACGUGCCAGCAGCCGCGGUAAUACGUAGGGCGCAAGCGUUGUCCGGAAUUAUUGGGCGUAAAGAGCUCGUAGGUGGCUUGUCACGUCGGGUGUGAAAGCUUGGGGCUUAACUCCAGGUCUGCAUUCGAUACGGGCUGGCUAGAGGUAGGUAGGGGAGAACGGAAUUCCUGGUGUAGCGGUGAAAUGCGCAGAUAUCAGGAGGAACACCGGUGGCGAAGGCGGUUCUCUGGGCCUUACCUGACGCUGAGGAGCGAAAGCGUGGGGAGCGAACAGGAUUAGAUACCCUGGUAGUCCACGCUGUAAACGUUGGGCGCUAGGUGUGGGGACCUUCCACGGUUUCCGCGCCGUAGCUAACGCAUUAAGCGCCCCGCCUGGGGAGUACGGCCGCAAGGCUAAAACUCAAAGGAAUUGACGGGGGCCCGCACAAGCGGCGGAGCAUGUUGCUUAAUUCGACGCAACGCGAAGAACCUUACCAAGGCUUGACAUUGCCCGGAAACACUCAGAGAUGGGUGCCUCUUCGGAUCGGGUGACAGGUGGUGCAUGGCUGUCGUCGGCUCGUGUCGUGAGAUGUUGGGUUAAGUCCCGCAACGAGCGCAACCCUUGUUCAAUGUUGCCAGCAACACCUUCGGGUGGUUGGGGACUCAUUGGAGACUGCCGGGGUCAACUCGGAGGAAGGUGGGGAUGACGUCAAGUCAUCAUGCCCCUUAUGUCUUGGGCUGCAAACAUGCUACAAUGGCCGGUACAGAGGGCUGCGAU
rnacentral:rRNA from 1 species